UACGGAGGUGGCAAGCGUUGUUCGGAAUUACUGGGCGUAAAGGGCGCGUAGGCGGCAUGGCAAGUCAGAUGUGAAAGCCCCGGGCUUAACCUGGGAAUUGCAUCUGAAACUGUUGUGCUUGAGUUCUGGAUGGGGUAGUGGAAUUCCCAGUGUAGCGGUGAAAUGCGUAGAUAUUGGGAGGAACACCUGCGGCGAAGGCGGCUACCUGGACAGAUACUGACGCUCAUGCGCGAGAGCUGGGUUAGCGAACCGGAUUAGA
rnacentral:rRNA from 1 species